ensembl:lncRNA
AUUUUCCCUUCCUCUAUUAAAUAAUGUGUCAUUCUGGGUUGUCUGUCAUCUGAGCCAGUGACUCAGUUCUGUCUAAGAAUAUGUCUGCGACUUUGAUGAUUGCAAAAUUCAGGAAGUUUUCCCCUUAGAAAAGCCCAGCUUUUAUCCCUAGAGCACAGGAGCGUAGAGAGAAGACUUAGAGCCAGAUUGUGAUAACCACAGGGAGUUGGAGGAGAAUUUGAGGAUUUUUCUGAACAGUUUACAUUCCUAAGGAGGGAGACAGUCUUUUGCCUUCAAAUGAGCUCUGUGAAAUCCCUUUUAGUGUUGUAAAACAUACCUCCUUAGUCUCAGAUGGUACCUUUGCCUUAAAACUCAGACUUGAGGAUGAAGUGGAGAGUGAAGAACUUAAACCUCUGCUGCUUGCAGUCUCUGGAUGUCUGCCGAGCAGUAAGCAUCAACUCACAGACAGGGUCUACUUGUGAAAGUUACAGCUACUUGGAAGCCCUCAACAGAGAAGUGAGAUUUAAGUUUCUGGGUGUGAAGCACUAAAACCUCACCCCCCCCACCAUGCUGGAAUGUCUUGCAUCAUAAUAUGAAUUUAGCCCAAUCAGUAUUUCUAAUUUAUUGUGAAACAUUGCCAACAAAUUACCCUAAUGCCUUCUGUUUGCUCACCUUUUUCUGGCCCAGCGAUUCCUGAUGAGAGAAUGAAAGAGAAUCUCCUGAAGCCUUUAUUAAAACAGACUGCAACCCGCAGUCUGGUGUUCCUGAUCUCCUUGGGUUGUGAUGAUCUCCUAUGUUUACAUUCUUAAGGCGGCCUCAGGAGAUGCCGAUGAAGCUGAUGGGGGUAGCACAGAUUUGGAAAAUGACCAUUACAAAGUUACAAAUUCCCUAUAAGUCAGUGGGCUGGAACUACAAAGACAUUUACUUGAGAAACUGACAAGAGCUGAAAAUCACCAGGAAUAUGCCUGGCUGAAAAAGAUAUAAUUAACUGCAAAUAGAAGCAGAAUCAUCCACUAAAUGGUAAUAUCUGUUCUUGAAAAUGUUGUUUUCACUUUUACCAAAGGACACAAAUGAUUAUGUUGAUAUUUAAAUUUAUUAUGAAUAUUUUUAUUCCAUUGUUAAAUUACCCCUUAAAUGAGUCUUGAAGAGAUUUGUUAAUUUGAUAUAUAAGAUUUAUUUGCAACAUUUUCCUUGGUAAUGUGGUACACCAGUUUAGAUUUCAGUAAAUAUAAAUAAUCUUUGUCACAUUGCUCAAGUGCUCAAACUUUCUUAUCUUUACUCUGUAGGCUUUUCUCCAAAUAUUCUAGAUGUUUUAAAACAAUUCAAUUUUUUCCUUUUCUCAUAUUUUUCCCUUCCCUUCUUUCCUUUCCCCUACCCCUCCCACCUCCCCUACCCCUUUAAACCUUUUCUUCCUAUUUCACAUUAAGAAUUAUACAUUUUGAUCCUUAUUUACACUUUCAUUUUCUCACACCAGAGAAACUUUUCAGUAUUUACACGUGUGUCCUAUUGAUUUCACUUAAUUUAAUUAGCUUAUUUUGUAGAAAUUUAAGUUUUUUUCAAUAUCUGUGCUCUGAAAGAAUAACAGAGAAUAAAAGAUAAAACAUAUAUAAUUGAAUGUACAAAUAAUGUUUAACUUUAUAUUAACUUUUCACUGUUUUAUUUAUAGCUUUAAAUUAACUAUUCAAUCACCAAGUCAUUCUUGACUAUUUUACGGGCUAUGCAUUGUGUCAGUGGUAGAACAAAAUGGUAAGCAAAGAUAGGCAAAGUUUCUACUCUCUUGCAACUUAAAUUGUAGGUAAGGACAGACAGAUGAUUAACAUAAGAAUAGAAGAAAUAAAUACAAAAAUAUACUAAAUCAGUGAGUGCUAUCAAGAAGAAAUAAAUGACAAAAUGAGAACACCUUGACUGAAUUGGGAGGUCUGUGGAGUCAUCCAUGAGGUAAUGUGUGAGAUCAAAAUGAAGAAUAGUCAUGAAGUUCAGGGGAACAGGGAUACAGAGUAAGAGCACAGGGGAGAAGAAAUUGUUGCAGUGACACUGUGGAAGACAUGAGUAGAUACUGCUUUUAUAUACGUGUGUUUGUGUGUGUGCUUAGAGCCAGUAAGAUAAUAAUUUUAACCAGAAAUAAAAUUUCAGUAAGUAAAUAAUAGUGUUGGUCAUAAUAUCACGUUAUGAAUUGUUGCUAUCCUACAGUUGCAGGCUAAAGCUGGUAUCUUUCUGCAAAGUUGCAGAUCUACCCACAUACAAAUGACCUGAAAUAAGCAGGGCCUCUAGGCUUGUUUUCUGAAGCAUACCUCUGAUUCUGUGUUUGGCAAAGAGAAUCUAUGAAGCAAAUGGUAUCUUGUUUAUCUUUUGAGAAAACAAUACUGGUUUACAAACUACUUCCAACAUUCAUGGCUUAGACCAGUUAGAGCAGGUUGGCUGGGCUUGUCUGGCCCUAGCGGGACUCACUCAUGGCCUGGGAUGGGGAGUAGCUCUGCUAGCAGUCCCUGUGGAUGUGGACUGGGCUCUACUCCUUCCUCUUGGUGGGCAUGGAGUGGCCACAGCUGGGGCACUGGAGUGGCUCACCUCCAACCAGUCCUUACUCUACAGCAGGCUUGGCAGAAGAGGAGCCUGGAGAAGUGAGCAGGUCUGACCACCUUCCACAAGUCUCCAUUUAUUGCACAUUUGCUACUUCCCCGUGCUUAACACAAGUCACAUGGCCAGCCUAGCAUCCCUGUGGAAGUGUUUGCCUAAGAGUCAUGGAUGCUGAAAGACAGGAAGACUCCUGGUGAACAACUCCAGCAAUCAACCGCAGCUGCAUUCAGAGUAGCAAUAGUAGUUUUUAAAAAAUAAAGGCGCACUCUGCUUUGGAAGUGUUUUCUCACGGACUCUAAGAACUUGGCACAUUAAUGGAAAGGUCGUUUUGGCUGAGUGCUGAGAGAGAAAGCAAGACGGGUGGGCGUUGGAGAAAAGGAGGCUGGGGUCUCUGCCGGGCCAUAUUUCUGAAUGCAGUGACUUUUGCCUUCUGACUGAGUGAAAGAAUGAAAUGAACAAUGUACAAACUCUCCCAUUAGGAAUAAUUAAGUGGUACAUUUGCAGAAAAACCAAAAUUAAUUUCCUCGGGAUGUAAUUUCCCAAGAAUAACACUAAAAUUUAAGUAAUAAGUUUAAUGAUACAGGCAUCAUAAAAAGUUCAUUCUAAUUCUUAAAAACAUUAUAAUUCUACUAUUUAGCAUAUAUUUAAGUCUACUUUUCUUUGUCAUUCCUUGAUAUUUUAAAUGGAAAUAAUUUCCCUACUCACUGUAGUGCAAAACUUGAUUUUCUUUUUUGUUCAAAAGAAUUUGAGUGUAUGCGUCCAUUUUUUUGUGUGUAAGAUAAAAUAUGACUUUUACAUGGCUUAUACCUAUCUCUUUGGAUUUCUCUAAAGUGUAUUGUGACAAUUUUAUAUUUGCUUUGAUUCUUAAUCUUUAAAACGUUUACACUGUCUGAUUUCAGGAAAAGUUUGACUCGUAACAUUCAUUCAGGAAAAUACAGAAAACACAUGUUCAACUCCUACAAAAUAUACCUAACUGUGGAAGAAGCAUUCAGAUGUUUAAAAACGAACAUUAGCAGUACCUCAAAUGUUGUUUAUUCACCUUCUCUGAAGUACUAUCUCUUUCUGCUCAAAGAUAACCUCUAAUGUGAUUUCUAGUACCAUCGAGUAGAUUUGCUUUUGCUUUUCAACUUUAUAUUAUAUAGUCUGAUUUAUCUUGGUCAAUUUUUUUCUGAUUUUAUUUAAAUUUUAUUUAAAUUUCAUAUAACUGUGAUGAUAUAAUUUGUAGUCAUUUGGGUGUUACAUUUUUCAGUGGCAUCUUUUUGGGUUCAUACAUGUCAAAGCUCUGACCCUCUGUGUUGCUGCACACUGUGUGAAUGCAUGGCCUUUCCUUUACCUGCCCUCUCAUGAAGGGCAUCUUGUUCUCUCGUUGUUGACUCUGUGGAUAAUACUUGCUGUAAUCCGAAUCUUCCUGUUCUCUUCCCAUUCAUAUGUUGAAAACUAAUCCCGAAUGUGAGGGAUGUUGGAGGAGGUACUUUUGGGAGGUGAUUAGACCAUGGGAGCAGAGUUCUUGAGAAAGAAUUAAUAUAUUUUUUUGAGGAAGCCCCCGAGAAGUACCUCAUCUCCUUCUACCACAUGAACAUUUAAGAAGGGAUAAGGAAAUGCAUUUAACACUAUGCCAUAAAGAGGAUAACUUGAAUCGUUUGUAGGAAGAUGGAUGCACCUUGAGACCAUAAUAUUAAGUGAAAUAAAUCAGACACACAAGCUUAAAUGUCACAUGGUUUCUUUUAUAUGAGAAACACAAAUUGUAAAUAAAGAGCAAAAUAAACCAUAGAUAAUGGGAAGUAGGGAGGUAAAUCUUUCUCAAAUGGGAAGGAGAUGGAGAGAUGAAGGAAGGGAAGGGAGAGAGGAUGCAGAAAGGAAAGAAAGUGUAUAGCACACAUGCUCCAACUCCACAGGGGGAAUGGAAUCAUUAUGCACGGCAAACAUGGACUACUGAAAGUGAAUAAAAUGAUGAAAAAUUAAACAUAGGAAAAAAGGCAUGAGAAAGUGGACAAAUUUGCUCAAGACCAAUUUUCAGGUGGCUGUGACCUUGGAUUUCCUGGCUUCUAGAACUGUAAGAAAUAAAUUACUGUUCUUUAAGGGACACUUAAUUCAGAAUACUUCAUUAUAACAGCUUGAGAGAACAAACUCUGCUAUGCAUACUUUACAUUUGUGGGCAUUUGUUGGUUUUUUCUUGGGUAGGUAUCUAAGAGUCACAUUAUUAAUUAGUAUACUAGGUAUGUGUUUACUAUCUUAAGAAAAAUUUCCGAAGUUGCUCUACUAAAUUACAUUGCCACCAGUAGUAUAAGAUUUUCCUUCCAAUUUCUCCACAUCUUCUCCAUCCUUGGUAUCAUCAGAAGUUUUUAUUUUAGCCCAUUCUGUUGGAUAUGCAAUGGCAUUACAUUUGUGGUUUGAAUUUAAAUUUCUUUAAUUAAAAAUUAUGUUCCAUAAACAUUCGUGGGCUUAUUUGGUACUUAUGCAUCUUGACUUAGUAACCUGGUCUAAUCAAGUCUUUUCCUCUAUGUUUGUGUCUUUAUCUACUUAAAUCACAAGAGUUCUUUAUGUAUUCUGGAUACAAAUCUUCAGCAGCUAUAUAUUUUGCAAAUAUUCUCUUACAAUCUGUGAGUUGCCUUUCCAUUUCCCUAAAAUGUCUUUAAAAGAACAAAAGUUUUAAAAUUUGAUGAAGUCCAGUUUUUCAUAUUUUAUCUUUUACUGGUUGGAUUUGAGUUUUCUUAACUAAAAAGUCUGCCUAAUCCAAGGUCACAGAUAUUUUUCUCCUGUGUUUUUAAGCAUCAGAGUUUCAGCACCUAUAUUUAGAUCUGCAAACCAGCAUGUGCACAUCUUGUGUCAGGUGUGCUGUAGGGACCAAGAUUUCCUCCUGCUCCUUUUCCCGGUGUGCAUUUGGAUACUCAUUCAUCUAGAUUAUUUGUUGAACAAACCACAUUUAUCUCAUCAAUUACUUGGCAUUUAGUAAGAAAAUCAAAUGUGUGGGCCUGCAUCUGGGAAUGUAAGUUUCCUUUUCCAAAAUAAUUGACCCUCUGGGUCCUUCAGAUUUCCAUAAACUUUAGAACUAUGUUAUCAAUUUUUACAAAAAAAAAAGGCUAAAGGGAUUUGAAAGUGAUUUGAUCUACUUACAUUGGAUAAAAUUACUGCUUUACAUUUCAGUUUUAUUUACCUUCUUUACACUAUGUCUUUGAUUUGACCACCUUACCUAUUUUCACCCCUCCCUUCUUCUGUGUAUUCUUUUUAAUUAGUCCAGUAUUUAUAAUUGUAUACUCUAUUCUAUUUUACCCUCUCUGAGGUCAUUCAAUAUAAUUUUGUUUCUAGUCCUGCAGUAGCUGUACUAUAGAUUUAAAAUAUAUAAAAAUGUAAUAUCAUUUAAUUGUAAUUAAUAAAUUAAAAUACACAUGGCCAUAUGAAUUUAGUGGCUACUGUGUUGCACACAAAACUGCUUGAUGAUGCUCGCGCUUUAUUUUAACCUAUUCCCCCCUAUAUUUGGUAUUACUGUAUUUGUAUUACUAUUACAUUUUAUAUGUACCAUAUAUUAUUUCAUAUUGUCAUUGCUUAUGUAUUUUACACAAAUUAUGUGUUAUAUACAUUAUUGCAUACCUUUAUUUUAAUGUGGAAUUCUUUGUAAUAUCAUAAGACUUUAAAAAUACAGCACUCAGAUUGUAUUAAGAGCACAAACAUUGAUGAAAGAAACUGAAAUACAUAGAAUUAAAUGGAAAUAUAUCUCUUGAUCAUGGACUUGAAAAAAUGAAUAUUGCUAAAAUGUUCACACUACUCAAGUGAUCUAUAAAUUCAGUGCAAUCACUACCAAGACUCAAUGAUAUUAUUCACAGAAAUGGAAAAAAAUCCAAAAUUUGUAUAAAGUCACAAAAGACCUGAAUUUCUAAAGCCAUCUUUAGUAAAAAGAAAAAAGCUCAGGCCAGGGAUUUAGCUCAGUGUCUCUGCUGCCUGCCUCACAAGUGCAAGG